AACUGGGGCUAAUACCGGAUAGGCAAUUAUUCCUGCAAUGGUUUUUUGUUUAAAUGUUUUUUCGCCUAAGGAUGGGUCUGCGGCCGAUUAGGUAGUUGGUUAGGUGAUGGCUUACCAAGCCGUUGAUCGGUACGGGUUGUGAGAGCAAGAGCCCGGAGAUGGAACCUGAGACAAGGUUCCAGGCCCUACGGGGUGCAGCAGGCGCGAAACCUCCGCAAUGUGA
rnacentral:rRNA from 1 species